UACGAAGGGGGCUAGCGUUGUUCGGAAUUACUGGGCGUAAAGCGCACGUAGGCGGAUAUUUAAGUCAGGGGUGAAAUCCCAGAGCUCAACUCUGGAACUGCCUUUGAUACUGGGUAUCUCGAGUCCGAGAGAGGUGAGUGGAAUUCCGAGUGUAGAGGUGAAAUUCGUAGAUAUUCGCAAGAACACCAGUGACGAAGGCGGCUCACUGGCCCAUUACUGACGCUGAGGCACGAAAGCGUGGGGAGCAAACAGG
rnacentral:rRNA from 1 species